rnacentral:rRNA from 1 species
AUUGAACGCUGGCGGCAUGCCUUACACAUGCAAGUCGAACGGCAGCACGGGUGCUUGCACCUGGUGGCGAGUGUCGAACGGGUGAGUAAUACAUCGGAACGUACCUUAUCGUGGGGGAUAACGCAGCGAAAGCUGUGCUAAUACCGCAUACGCCCUGAGGGGGAAAGCGUGGGAUCGCAAGACCUCGCGCGAUUAGAGCGGCCGAUGCCUGAUUAGCUUGUUGGUGGGGGAAAAGCCCACCAAGGCGACGAUCAGUAGCUGGUCCGAGAGGACGAUCAGCCACACUGGGACUGAGACACGGCCCAGACUCCUACGGGAGGCAGCAGUGGGGAAUUUUGGACAAUGGGGGCAACCCUGAUCCAGCAAUGCCGCGUGAGUGAAGAAGGCCUUCGGGUUGUAAAGCUCUUUUGUCAGGGAAGAAACACCGGCUCUAACACAGUCCGGGAAUGACGGUACCUGAAGAAUAAGCACCUGCUAACUCUGUGCCAGCCGCCGCGGUAA